rnacentral:lncRNA from 1 species
CUGGAGCGACUAAAACCCACACUCGGGUGACUUGAAACAAACACAAACCAUAAAAACUAAAUCAACACUAGCCACGUUAACAUCCACGCAAAAAAACAUCAGAUAACUUAGCAAUUUUUAAAACAGAGUAAAUGUCAAUGGUCGGGAAGUACCGCUGCUGCCUAUAGCCCGCCACCCGCCACCCGGUACCCUCCACUUCUGCACCCAAACCACACUUAUCGCUGCUGCUCGCCGCCAAACGAUAAGACCAAAACCCGGGGACUUCAAACCUCGACAAGGGGAACCACUGCUCGGUCCACGCGCCUUGGAUACAUAAACACUCUACGAUCAAAGAAAGAAGCUCGCCCAACCACCAAGAAGACGAAGCCUUGCCAAGAACCUCUCCAACACUCACGGGAAAGGAGCCAAACGACAAGCAACCAAAUGACACAUAACCCCUAGAACAAAGACUGCUAAGUCACAACCAUCAAGACGCUUACACCCAUGGCCUAUAACGAUUAAGACUCACACACUUAACAGUACAAGAGCCCAAUCAAAACGCUAAUUACCAUAGCUGGGGAUGCAAAAGACGGGACAGAAACAACCGCCGUAAGGACAAGACCCCCAAUUCCCGCUCGUCCACUCCAUCACAAAGACCCAGCUUUGAAAGAAGCGAUGACAAGAACACUGGACGAGUCCGCCAUGAACCUCGCGCAUCACCUAAACAUGGAGAGCACCGCAAAAGUCUGAAGGAGAAAACCAGAUCUGACGGUGACACUUCCCAAAAGCCGACUCCCUUGCUCUACCAAGCUCACACCAACUCGUCGGAACACCAGAAAGCUCACCCACCGGCGAAGAAAGUUCUCCACGGAGCAGAACCCGACACUUACCGGCGUUGAAAAACCCAGAAUCCCAGAACAUAUCGAAGAUGGAUCUUGUUAGAACCAGGAAGCAAUGAUAAAACUAGAUCUAAGAGAAAAAGCAGCCUCCGACGUCGGAGAGACCAACGCCGGAGCAAAGCAGGAAGAAAACCUUCUGAAACUUUGGGAGAAAAGAGAGAGAAGAGAGAGAGGAUGUAUGAAGUGUCCCCUUCCUACAUGUCUUUAUGUAUUAAUUUUUAUAACUUUCACAAUAUAAUAAAACGCAAUGUCACUUCCAUAAAAAUAGCCUCAUCCUCUUCCCCCUAUCUUUUCAAUUGAUUAGGGAUUAAGGUUCACAUAAUAUUUUUUUUUUGGACAAAUGGUUCACAUAAUAUAACAUAUGUCAUGUGUUCCAAAAAAAAGUCAUGAGAAAGUGAAUAGCAUGUAC